rnacentral:rRNA from 1 species
UGGGGAAUAUUGCACAAUGGGGGAAACCCUGAUGCAGCGACGCCGCGUGAGCGAAGAAGGCUUUCGAGUCGUAAAGCUCUGUUCUAUGAGAAGAUAAUGACGGUAUCAUAGGAGUAAGCCCUGGCUAAAUACGUGCCAGCAGCCGCGGUAAUACGUAUGGGGCGAGCGUUGUCCGGAAUUAUUGGGCGUAAAGGGUACGUAGGCGGUUUUUUAAGUCAGGUGUCAAAGCGUGGAGCUUAACUCCAUUAAGCACGUGAAACUGAAAGACUUGAGUGAAGGAGAGGAAAGUGGAAUUCCGAGUGUAGCGAUGAAAUGCGUAGAUAUUAGGAGGAAUACCGGUGGCGAAGGCGACUUUCUGGACUUUUACUGACGCUCAGGUACGAAAGCGUGGGGAGCAAACAGG